rnacentral:rRNA from 1 species
UAGGGAAUCUUCGGCAAUGGGGGGAACCCUGACCGAGCAACGCCGCGUGAGUGAAGAAGGUUUUCGGAUCGUAAAGCUCUGUUGUUAAGGAAGAACGAGUGUGAGAAUGGAAAGUUCAUGCUGUGACGGUACUUAACCAGAAAGGGACGGCUAACUACGUGCCAGCAGCCGCGGUAAUACGUAGGUCCCGAGCGUUGUCCGGAUUUAUUGGGCGUAAAGCGAGCGCAGGCGGUUAGAAAAGUCUGAAGUGAAAGGCAGUGGCUCAACCAUUGUAGGCUUUGGAAACUGUUUAACUUGAGUGCAGAAGGGGGGAGUGGAAUUCCAUGUGUAGCGGUGAAAUGCGUAGAUAUGUGGAGGAACACCGGUGGCGAAAGCGGCUCUCUGGUCUGUAGCUGACGCUGAGGCUCGAAAGCGUGGGGAACGAACAGG